rnacentral:rRNA from 1 species
GCUCAAAUUUAAAAUCUGGCUNUUUACUAGUCCGAAUUGUAGUUUAAAGAAGCGUUUUCGGUGGCAGCCUGGGUAUAAAUCCUUUGGAAUAGGGUAUCAUAGAGGGUGAGAAUCCCGUCUUUGACUCAGUGCAUGCUACUAUGUGAUACGUUUUCAAAGAGUCGAGUUGUUUGGGAAUGCAGCUCAAAAUGGGUGGUAAAUUUCAUCUAAAGCUAAAUAUUGGCGAGAGACCGAUAGCGAACAAGUACCGUGAGGGAAAGAUGAAAAGAACUUUGAAAAGAGAGUUAAACAGUGCGUGAAAUUGUUGAAAGGGAAACGCUUGACACCAGUCAUGCGGGCGGAAAAUCAGUCUCUUAUAGUAGGAGUGGUGGGAGUUUGGACCGCAAGGCCAGCUUUUGCUUCAUCUCUGCUAUGAGUGGUGCACUUUUUCGUUUGCAGGUCAACAUCAGUUUCUUCUGCUGGACAAAACUCUGAGAGAAGGUAGCAGCUUAAGCUGUGUUAUAGCUCUGGAGCGAUACAGUGGAGGGGACUGAGGCUUUCGCAGCGUGUGCUCUCGGGCAAGGCUGAUUGGGUGCUAUGAGAUCGUUCGGUGUACAAUGCAUGCAUUUUGCGCCGUGUCUUUUUUUAUACUCGCUCAACUCGGCUCUUCCACGCUUAGGAUGUUGACUUAAUGGUUUUAAUCGACCCGUCUUGAAACACGGACCAAGGAGUCUAACAUAUAUGCAAGUGUUUGGGUGGCAAACCCAUGCGCGUAAUGAAAGUGAACGUAGGUGCCAUCCGCAAGGUGCAGCAUCGACCGAUCUUGAUAUUUUUGGAUAGAUUUGAGUAAGAGCAUAUAUGCUGGGACCCGAAAGAUGGUGAACUAUGCCUGAAUAGGGUGAAGCCAGAGGAAACUCUGGUGGAGGCUCGUAGCGAUUCUAACGUGCAGGUCGAUCGUCA